ensembl:lncRNA
CUCUUUUUUUUCCUUCAUUUGCUUGUGGAUAUCUGAUUUAUUGGAAAGGCUGUAACUUCUGCACUGAAUUGGCCCUGCACCUGUGGAUAAUCAAGUUUUCCAUGAAUUAAGGAGUUUCUCCUUCCUGCUCUUCAGCCUACGUGGCUUUUUCUUCUUUCUUGAUUGCACUAGCAAAAACCUCGAGUACAAAGUUGGAUGGAAGUGGAUCGGUGACAGCUGUGAAGAGUCUGGGCCGGUUUUCUUGAAGAGGAUCUCACAAUCAAAUUGGCUGGACAGUUUCUUCACGGUCAGACCCAGGCUGAACUUUGGGGCCAGAGUACGGCCUCAGUGGCACUGGGUCCUCUGGGCUCUUCAUGGCCAGGUGCCCGAGGCCUGAGGCUCUCGCUGGUGAUGGUGCUGAGACUGAUCACCAGCUUCAGAUGAGGCUCACCAGUAUUCUGUUUCCAG